GACGAACGCUGGCGGUAUGCUUAACACAUGCAAGUCGAACGAGACAAGAUGGAAGUGCUUGCACGGAAAUCUUAGAAAGUGGCGAACGGGUGAGUAACGCGUGGGUAACCUGCCCUAUGGAAAGGAAUAGCCUCGGGAGACUGGGAGUAAUGCCUUAUAAGAUAUAUUUGUCGCAUGGCAGAUGUAUUAAACGAUCCGUUGCCAUCGGAUGGACCCGCGUCCCCUUAGCUAGUUGGUGAGACAACAGCCCACCAAGGCGACGAUGGGUAACCGGUCUGAGAGGGCGAACGGUCACACUGGCACUGAGACACGGUCCAGACUCCUACGGGAGGCAGCAGUGGGGAAUAUUGCGCAAUGGGGGAAACCCUGACGCAGCAAUACCGCGUGAGUGAAGAAGGUUUUCGGAUCGUAAAGCUCUGUUAUUGGGGAAGAAAAAAGACGGUACCCAAGAAGAAAGUCCCGGCUAACUACGUGCCAGCCGCCGCGGUAA
rnacentral:rRNA from 1 species